rnacentral:rRNA from 1 species
GGAGAAUUGAAACAUCUUAGUACCCAGAGGAAAAGAAAAUAAAUAAUGAUUCCCUAAGUAGAGGCGAUUGAAAGGGGAAGAGCCCAGCACCAUCAAGAGUUACAAAAUCUUUUUAUAGUAGAAUUGUAUUGGAAAAGCAAGUCAAAGAAGGUGAAAGCCCUGUAUACGAAAUAAAGAGAUCUCGGUGUGAGAGUAGGGCGGAGCACGUGAAAUUCUGUCUGAAUAUGCGAGGACCAUCUCGUAAGGCUAAAUACUCAUUAGUGACCGAUAGUGAACCAGUACUGUGAAGGAAAGGUGAAAAGAACCCCUGGCGGGGAGUGAAAAGAACCUGAAACCGUGUGCUUACAAACAGUUAGAGCCCAUCAAUGGGUGAUAGCGUGCCUUUUGUAGAAUGAGCCGGCGAGUUACGUUAAUUUGCAAGGUUAAGCUUUUAGGAGUGGAGCCGUAGCGAAAGCAAGUCUUAAUAGGGCGAAUAAGUAGAUUGACGUAUACCCGAAACCGGGUGAUCUAGCCAUGAGCAGGUUGAAGCUUGGGUAAAACCAGGUGGAGGACCGAACCAGGGUCUGUUGAAAAAGACUUGGAUGACUUGUGGCUAGGGGUGAAAUUCCAAUCGAACCCGGAGAUAGCUGGUUCUCCCCGAAAUAGCUUUAGGGCUAGCGUUGUGAGAAGAGUUAUACGAAGGUAGAGCACUGAAUGGGUGAGGGCCGCACCUCGCGGUACCAAUCUCAAUCAAACUCCGAAUGUCGUAUAAUAUGCGCAGCAGUAAGACUAUGGGUGAUAAGGUCCAUGGUCAAAAGGGAAACAGCCCAGACCGCCAGUUAAGGUCCCAAAAUUAUGCUAAGUGGGAAAGGAGGUGGAGUCGCUUAAACAACUAGGAGGUUGGCUCAGAAGCAGCCAUCCUUUAAAGAGUGCGUAAUAGCUCACUAGUCGAGUGAUUCUGCGCCGAAAAUGUAUCGGGGCUAAGCAUAAUACCGAAGCUGCGGGAUUAGAUGAAGAAUCUAAUCGGUAGGGGAGCGUACUAAGUGCGUAGAAGGUUGACCGGAAGGGCAGCUGGAGCGCUUAGCAGUGAGUAUGCCGGUGUGAGUAGCGAUAAGAUGGGUGAGAAUCCCAUCCGUCGAAAGCCUAAGGUUUCCAGGGGUAAGGCUCGUCCUCCCUGGGUAAGUCGGGUCCUAAGGUGAGGCUGAGAAGCGUAGCUGAUGGACAUCAGGUUGAUAUUCCUGAACCACCAUAAAACUGAAGGAAUGACGGAGGAGGCUAAUCAGAGCUGAUUAAUGGAUUUCAGUUUAAGUACAAAGAGGGUUACGUAGGCAAAUCCGCGUAGCAAAACCUUGAAGUAUGACGACGUAAGUCUGGUGAAGCCACACUUCCAAGAAAAGUUUCUAGGUGUAUUUUAUGGUGCCCGUACCGUAAACGGACACACGUAGGCGAGGAGAGAAUCCAAAGACGCGCGAGAUAAUUCUUGUUAAGGAACUCUGCAAAAUUACUCUGUAACUUCGGAAUAAAGAGGGCUCCCGUGAGGGAGACGCAGAAAAUAGGCCCAAGCGACUGUUUAACAAAAACAUAGGUUUCUGCUAAAGCGUAAGCUGAUGUAUAGGAGCUGACGCCUGCCCAGUGCUGGAAGGUUAAGAGGAGAAGUUAGUCGCAAGGCGAAGCUUUGAAUUGAAGCCCCAGUAAACGGCGGCCGUAACUAUAACGGUCCUAAGGUAGCGAAAUUCCUUGUCAGGUAAGUUCUGACCCGCACGAAAGGCGUAACGAUUUGGGCGCUGUCUCAACAAGAAACUCGGUGAAAUCAUAGUACCUGUGAAGAUGCAGGUUACCCGCGAUCAGACGGAAAGACCCCAUGGAGCUUCACUGCAACUUAAUAUUGAUAUUGGGUGUGUGAUGUACAGGAUAGGUGGGAGACAAAGAAGCGAGUACGCUAGUAUUCGUGGAGUCAACCUUGGGAUACCACCCCUCGCACAUUUAGUAUCUAACUAGUUUCCAUAAGCUGGGAAUAGAACAGUGUUAGGUGGGCAGUUUGACUGGGGCGGUCGCCUCCCAAAGAGUAACGGAGGCGCCCAAAGGUUCCCUCAGAAUGGUUGGAAAUCAUUCAUAGAGUGUAAAGGCAGAAGGGAGCUUGACUGCGAGACGGACAGGUCGAGCAGGAACGAAAGUUGGGCUUAGUGAACCGGCUGUGCUGAAUGGAAAGGCAGUCGAUCAACGGACAAAAGCUACCCUGGGGAUAACAGGCUGAUCUCCCCCAAGAG